GCUGGGGUGGCUCAGUGGUUGAGCAUUGGCCUAAGAACCAGGGGGUCACAGUUCGAUUCUGGGUCAGAGCA
rnacentral:tRNA from 1 species